UGGUAUUGAUUGGUGCUUGCAUCAUGAUUUACAUUUGCGUGAGUGGCGAACUGGUGAGUAACACGUGGGAAACCUGCCCACAAGAGGGGGAUAACACCUGGAAACAGAUGCUAAUACCGCAUAACAACUUGGACCGCAUGGUCCGAGUUUGAAAGAUGGCUUCGGCUAUCACUUUUGGAUGGUCCCGCGGCGUAUUAGCUAGAUGGUGAGGUAACGGCUCACCAUGGCAAUGAUACGUAGCCGACCUGAGAGGGUAAUCGGCCACAUUGGGACUGAGACACGGCCCAAACUCCUACGGGAGGCAGCAGUAGGGAAUCUUCCACAAUGGACGAAAGUCUGAUGGAGCAACGCCGCGUGAGUGAAGAAGGGUUUCGGCUCGUAAAACUCUGUUGUUAAAGAAGAACAUAUCUGAGAGUAACUGUUCAGGUAUUGACGGUAUUUAACCAGAAAGCCACGGCUAACUACGUGCCAGCAGCCGCGGUAAUACGUAGGUGGCAAGCGUUGUCCGGAUUUAUUGGGCGUAAAGCGAGCGCAGGCGGUUUUUUAAGUCUGAUGUGAAAGCCUUCGGCUCAACCGAAGAAGUGCAUCGGAAACUGGGAAACUUGAGUGCAGAAGAGGACAGUGGAACUCCAUGUGUAGCGGUGAAAUGCGUAGAUAUAUGGAAGAACACCAGUGGCGAAGGCGGCUGUCUGGUCUGUAACUGACGCUGAGGCUCGAAAGUAUGGGUAGCAAACAGGAUUAGAUACCCUGGUAGUCCAUACCGUAAACGAUGAAUGCUAAGUGUUGGAGGGUUUCCGCCCUUCAGUGCUGCAGCUAACGCAUUA
rnacentral:rRNA from 1 species